rnacentral:tRNA from 1 species
GGGAGUGGAUGGGCUCCGGUGGGCCCUGCGGUCUUCAAAAUCGUUGGUCCCGGUGCUUCCACCGGGACGGUGGGUUCGACUCCCUCGCACUCCCGCCA